GAACGCGUCUGGUCGUGCCUCUGGUACGUACUGGUAUUAUUGGUUUCUCCCUUCUGACGAACCAUGAUGUCAUUAAUUUGAUGUCGUGGAGAAUCAGGACUGUUACUUUGAAAAAAUUAGAGUGUUUAAAGCAGGCUCACGCUUGAAUACAUUAGCAUGGAAUAAUGAAAUAGGACGUUUGAUUCUAUUUUGUUGGUUUCUAGGAUCGACGUA
rnacentral:rRNA from 1 species